GUGAAUCAUCAAAUUUUUGAACGCAAAUUGCACUCUCUUCGGAGAGUAUGCCUGUUUGAGGGUCAGCCUAAAAAAAAAAUCGACAUAGUCGCUGUUUCUCGUUGACAUUCGUCGGAAAUUUGUUCAUCUUAAACCUUUUGUUUUUAAGUGGCUUAAAUUUUUCUUUACUUUUCCACUCACGUUUCUCCUUUUUCCUUCUUCUCCUUUUAAGUUAUCC
rnacentral:misc_RNA from 1 species